GCAUUGUCCUCAAUGUAAAAAAAUGCAAGAAAACUAUAUAUGAGAGACAAUAGAGAAAAUAAUAGAGAGAAGAAGAAUACCUUGAGCUGUUGAUUUCCAGAAAAGAAGACCUACAAAAUAAGAAGAAAACUAGAAAUAAAAGAAAAUAAUAAUUCUAACGAAUAUACACAUACCUUGGCCUUCAUGUUCAGUCAUAAGAAGGCUCUCCCAAGAAAAAGGAGUCCUCUUCAUCUGCAAAAUUCUCAAGAAAAGGUUUUAAUCUUUGUCCAUUUACUUUAAAAAUUGUGCCAUCCUGUGGAUUUUCAAUUUCAACUGCCCCUGGUUUGAUUUCAAAGUGUCCCACAUUUUC
rnacentral:lncRNA from 1 species